rnacentral:tRNA from 1 species
GACUCCGUGGCGCAACGGUAGCGCGGUCCGACUCCAGAUCGGGAAGGGUGCGUGUUCAAAUCACGUCGGGGUCA